AAGAGUAUAGCUUAAUGGUAAAGCCUUUGUCUUCAAAAUAAAUAAUAAUAGUUCAAUUCUAUUUACUCUUG
rnacentral:tRNA from 1 species